GUGUCUGCAGAGGACAGAGAGGUGCAUGAUGGGAUAUGCAGAGCAGGAGGUCACAAGCAGAGAUUUAAGCGAGAGCUGCAAAGGAUGGGCUUCGACAUGCACAGUGCCUGGAGAAUCUCCAACAUCAACAGCAACUACAGGGUUUGUUCAAGUUACCCGGAGCAGAUAUUGGUGCCGGCUGCAGUCACUGAUCAGCAGCUGGAGAACGUGGCGGCGUUCAGAUCAUGGAAGAGGAUC